rnacentral:rRNA from 1 species
AUGAACGUUGGCGGCGUGGAUUAGGCAUGCAAGUCGAACGAAUCCCUGUAGCAAUAUGGGGGGAAGUGGCGAAAGGGGCAGUAAGGUAUGGGUAACUUGCCUCGGGGACCGGGAUAGCCCUUCUAACGAAGGGGUAAUACCGGGCGUCGUGUCGAGGGGGCAUCCUCAUGACACGAAAGGCUCAGGCGCCCCGAGAGAGGCCCAUAUAGUAUUAGCUAGUUGGUGGGUAACGGCCCACCAAGGCCAAGAUGCUUAGCGGGUGUGAGAGCACGACCCGCGCCACUGGCACUGUGACACUGGCCAGACUCCUACGGGAGGCUGCAGUCGAGGAUCUUUGGCAAUGGGCGCAAGCCUGACCAAGCGACGCCGCGUGGGCGAUGAAGGCCUUCGGG